rnacentral:rRNA from 1 species
GUGGCAGGGGCGGCGGUAAGACGAGUGACCCGAGCGUUAUCCGGAAUUAUUGGGCGUAAAGGGUCCGCAGGCGGCUUGUUAAGUCGUCGGUUAAAGCCUCCGGCUCAACCGGGGAACUGCCGAUGAUACUGAUAAGCUAGAGGCCGGGAAAGGCUGACGGAAUGGUAGGUGUAGGGGUAAAAUCCGUUAAUAUCUACUAGAACACCAAAGGCGAAGGCAGUCAGCUGGAACGGUCCUGACGCUCAGGGACGAAAGCGUGGGGAGCGAAAGGGAUUAGAUACCCCUGUAGUCCACGCCGUAAACGAUGGAUGCUAAAGAUUGGUAGUCUCGACCCUAUCAGUCUUGUUAUACUCAAGCUAACGCCUUAAGUAUCCCGCCUGGGGAGUACGAGCGCAAGCUUAAAACUCAAAGGAAUAGACGGGGACUCGAACAAGCGGUGGAGCGUGUGGUUUAAUUCGACUCUAAGCGAGGAACCUUACCAGGGCUUGACAUCUAGCCUAUAUGAAACCUUAACCGGAUGAUUUUAGUGGCUAUGACAGGUGAUGCAUGGUUGUCGUCAGCAUGUGCUGUGUAGUGCACCGUUAACUCGGGUAACAUGCGCAACCCUCGUCCUGUGUUAUUAUGUCACAGGAGACUGCCUCGGUUAACGAGGAGGAAGGCGGGGAUGACGUCAAAUCAGCAUGUCCCUUACGCUCUGGGCUACACACGCGCUACAAUGGCCAGGACAACGGGAAGCCAAAUCGUAAGAUGGAGCUAAUCCUUAUAAACCUGGUCCCAGUUCGGAUAGAGGGCUGCAACUCGCCCUCUUGAAGCCGGAAUCGCUAGUAACCGCGGAUCAGCCUCGCCGCGGUGAAUACGUUCUCGAGUCUUGUACUCACUGCCCGUCAAGUGAAGGAAGCCGGCAAUACCCGAAGCCCCACGUUCGUGGGUCUACGGUAGGGUCGGUGACAGGCACUAAGUCGUAACAAGGUAACC